rfam:Pristionchus pacificus strain PS312 contig3995, whole genome shotgun sequence.
UCUUCAUGUCCCACACUCUCUCACCGGUCAGAGAGGCGAGAGAGUGUGCGAAAUGAAGAGA